AUCGAUGAAGAACGCAGCGAAAUGCGAUAAGUAAUGUGAAUUGCACAAUUCAGUGAAUCAUCGAAUCUUUGAACGCACCUUGCGCCCUCUGGUAUUCCGGAGGGCAUGCCUGUUUGAGUGUCAUUAAAUUCUCAACUUCAAUAGCUUUUAUUAGCUUAUUGAUGCUUGGAUGUGGGAGCUUGCUGGCGUCUUAGAUGUUCGGCUCUCCUUAAAUUUAUUAGUGGAAACCUCUUUGUUAGGUUAUUCUUGGUGUGAUAAUUAUCUACGCUUUGCAUAAUCUAAUGUUUCAUUGGGAUUAGAGAUUUCUCAGUAGAAAUACUGGUAUGGGUGUUGCAAUUAAUUUUGCUCUAUCUGUUAUCUCUCAGUAGCAAUACUGGUUUUGGUGUUGUAAUUAAUUUGCUUCACCUGUAGUCUCAGAGGAAAAGGGAAGUUCUGCUUUCUAACUGUCUAUGUAUGUAGACAAUUUAUUGACUAUUUGACCUCAAAUCAGGUAGGACUACCCGCUGAACUUAAGCAUAUCAAUAAGCGGAGGAAAAGAAACUAACAAGGAUUCCCCUAGUAACUGCGAGUGAAGAGGGAAAAGCUCAAAUUUAAAAUCUGGCAGUCUUUUGAUUGUCCGAGUUGUAAUUUAGAGAAGUGUUACCCGUGUUGAACCGUGUACAAGUUUCCUGGAAUGGAACGUCAUAGAGGGUGAGAAUCCCGUCUUUGACACGGAUCCCAAUGCAUUGUGGUACAUUUUCGAAGAGUCGAGUUGUUUGGGAAUGCAGCUCUAAAUGGGUGGUAAAUUCCAUCUAAAGCUAAAUAUUGGGGAGAGACCGAUAGCGAACAAGUACCGUGAGGGAAAGAUGAAAAGAACUUUGGAAAGAGAGUUAAACAGUACGUGAAAUUGUUGAAAGGGAAACGCUUGAAGUCAGUCAUGUUGCCCAAGGAUCAACCUUGCUCUUUUGCUUGGUGUACUUCUUGGAUCGACAGGUCAGCAUCAAUUUUGAUCGAUGGAUAAAGUUCAGAGGAAUGUGGCAUCUUCGGAUGUGUUAUAGCCUUUGUCCGUAUACAUCGGUUGGGAUUGAGGAACUCAGCAUGCCGCAAGGCCAGGUUUUUAAACCAUGUUCAUGCUUAGGAUGCUGGCAUAAUGGCUUUAAUCGACCCGUCUUGAAACACGG
rnacentral:rRNA from 1 species